UUUACCCAUUGGUCAGGCUUAAUUGUCUGCACUGGUGAGAUGAAUCUCUACCUUCUGAGGAACUUUUCAUGCCAUUUAUUUGGUGUGAUUGGAAAUCAGGACUGUUACUUUGAAAAAAUUAGAGUGUUUAAAGCAGGCUAACGUCUGAAUACAUUAGCAUGGAAUAAUGAAAUAGGACGGACUGAUUCUAUUUCGUUGGUUUCUAGGAUCACCGUAAUGAUUAAUAGGGAUAGUUGGGGGCAUUAGUAUUCAAUUGUCAGAGGCGAAAUUCUUGGAUUUAUUGAAGACUAACUACUGCGAAAGCAUUUGCCAAGGAUGUUUUCACUUAUCAGGAACGAAAGUUAGGGGAUCGAAGACGAUCAGAUACCGUCGUAGUCUUAACCAUAAACUAUGCCGACUAGGGAUCGGACGGUGUUAUAUCUUGACCCGUUCGGCGCCUUACGGGAAAC
rnacentral:rRNA from 2 species